GCAGAGACAAGUUGCCCUCAAGAAGAUAACUAUCCAAAUAGUCUAUGUAUAAAAGUAAAUGGGAAGCUAUUUCCUUUGCCUGGCUAUGCACCACCGCCUAAAAAUGGGAUUGAACAGAAGCGCCCUGGACGCCCCUUGAAUAUUACAUCUUUAGUUAGGUUAUCUUCAGCUGUGCCAAACCAAAUUUCCAUUUCUUGGGCAUCAGAAAUUGGGAAGAAUUACUCUAUGUCUGUAUAUCUUGUACGGCAGCUUACAUCAGCCAUGUUAUUACAGAGAUUAAAAAUGAAAGGUAUUAGAAACCCUGAUCAUUCCAGAGCACUAAUUAAAGAAAAACUUACUGCAGAUCCUGAUAGUGAAAUUGCUACAACUAGCCUUCGGGUAUCCUUGAUGUGCCCUUUAGGAAAAAUGAGGCUGACAAUCCCAUGCCGUGCAGUGACUUGUACACAUCUGCAGUGUUUUGAUGCUGCCCUCUAUCUACAAAUGAAUGAGAAAAAGCCCACCUGGAUUUGUCCUGUGUGUGACAAAAAAGCUGCCUAUGAAAGUCUAAUAUUAGAUGGGCUUUUUAUGGAAAUUCUCAAUGACUGUUCUGAUGUAGAUGAGAUCAAAUUCCAAGAAGAUGGUUCUUGGUGUCCAAUGAGACCGAAGAAAGAAGCUAUGAAAGUAUCCAGCCAACCGUGUACAAAAAUAGAAAGUUCAAGCGUCCUCAGUAAGCCUUGUUCAGUGACUGUAGCCAGUGAGGCAAGCAAGAAGAAAGUAGAUGUUAUUGAUCUUACAAUAGAAAGCUCUUCUGACGAAGAGGAAGACCCUCCUGCCAAAAGGAAAUGCAUCUUUAUGUCAGAAACACAAAGCAGCCCAACCAAAGGGGUUCUCAUGUAUCAGCCAUCUUCUGUAAGGGUGCCCAGUGUGACUUCGGUUGAUCCUGCUGCUAUUCCGCCUUCAUUAACAGACUACUCAGUACCAUUCCACCAUACGCCAAUAUCAAGCAUGUCAUCAGAUUUGCCAGGAGAACAAAGAAGAAAUGAUAUUAAUAAUGAACUGAAGCUUGGAACAUCUUCUGAUACUGUGCAACAGUGAAUACAAAAUAAAACAAAUAAUUUGU
rnacentral:lncRNA from 1 species